UGAUUGUUCCCAGUUGUUGACAAGUCUGGAACAAGUUGUUAUCAUCUUGUAACAAGGUUGACGAGGCCAACAGACUCGCAACAAGUUGUUCCAACAAGUCUGAUAUCGUCUGCACGUAACAAGUUGUUAACAAGUUGACGACAACAAGCUCGUGGCAACUUGUUACGAACAGCCUGUAUUAGUCUUGUUGGAACAACUUGUAGCAAGUCUGUUACCGUCGUCAACCUUGUAACACGGUGAUAACAACUUGUUCCAGACUUGUCACAACAACUGGGAACAAGCAGUGCGAACACAUCCUGAUAUCGACUUGACGACAACCUUGUUG
rnacentral:lncRNA from 1 species